rnacentral:rRNA from 2 species
ACGAACGCUGGCGGCGUGCCUAAUACAUGCAAGUCGAGCGAUUGGUGCUUGCACCAGAGCGGCGGACGGGUGAGUAACACGUGGGUAACCUGCCCAAGAGACUGGGAUAACACCUGGAAACAGAUGCUAAUACCGGAUAACAACACUGACGCAUGUCUAGAGUUAAAAGAUGUUCUUAUCACUCUUGGAUGGACCUGCGGUGCAUUAGCUAGUUGGUAAGGUAACGGCUUACCAAGGCAAUGAUGCAUAGCCGAGUUGAGAGACUGAUCGGCCACAAUGGAACUGAGACACGGUCCAUACUCCUACGGGAGGCAGCAGUAGGGAAUCUUCCACAAUGGGCGCAAGCCUGAUGGAGCGACACCGCGUGAGUGAAGAAGGGUUUCGGCUCGUAAAGCUCUGUUGUUGUAGAAGAACGUGCGUGAGGUAAUUCACGCAGUGACGGUAUCCAACCAGAAAGUCACGGCUAACUACGUGCCAGCAGCCGCGGUAAUACGUAUGUGGCAAGCGUUAUCCGGAUUUAUUGGGCGUAAAGCGAGCGCAGCGGUUGCUUAGUCUGAUGUGAAAGCCUUCGGCUUAACCGAAGAAGGCAUCGGAAACCGGGCGACUUGAGUGCAGAAGAGGACAGUGGAACUCCAUGUGUAGCGGUGGAAUGCGUAGAUAUAUGGAAGAACACCAGUGGCGAAGGCGGCUGUCUGGUCUGCAACUGACGCUGAGGCUCGAAAGCAUGGGUAGCGAACAGGAUUAGAUACCCUGGUAGUCCAUGCCGUAAACGAUGAGUGCUAGGUGUUGGAGGGUUUCCCCCUUCAGUGCCGGAGCUAACGCAUUAAGCACUCCGCCUGGGGAGUACGACCGCAAGGUUGAAACUCAAAGGAAUUGACGGGGGCCCGCACAAGCGGUGGAGCAUGUGGUUUAAUUCGAAGCUACGCGAAGAACCUUACCAGGUCUUGACAUCUUGCGCUAACCUUAGAGAUAAGGCGUUCCCUUCGGGGACGCAAUGACAGGUGGUGCAUGGUCGUCGUCAGCUCGUGUCGUGAGAUGUUGGGUUAAGUCCCGCAACGAGCGCAACCCUUGUUACUAGUUGCCAGCAUUGAGUUGGGCACUCUAGUGAGACUGCCGGUGACAAACCGGAGGAAGGUGGGGACGACGUCAGAUCAUCAUGCCCCUUAUGACCUGGGCUACACACGUGCUACAAUGGACGGCACAACGAGUCGCAAACUCGCGAGAGUAAGCUAAUCUCUCAAAGCCGUUCUCAGUUCGGACUGUAGGCUGCAACUCGCCUACACGAAGUCGGAAUCGCUAGUAAUCGCGGAUCAGCAUGCCGCGGUGAAUACGUUCCCGGGCCUUGUACACACCGCCCGUCA